rnacentral:lncRNA from 1 species
UUUUUUUUUUUUUUUUUUGAGAACAGGGUUUCUCUGUAUAGCCCGGACUGUCCUGGAACUCACUUUGUAGACCAGGCUGGCCUUGAACUCAGAAAUCCACCUGCCUCUGCCUCCCAAGUGCUGGGAUUAAAGGCAUGUGCCUCAUUACAUUUUUUAAAGGGAAGAAAAGAUGGAGAGUGACUAAAGAAGACACCCAACAUUUAAUUAAUGAACUAACUAACAGAAGGGCAAACCUUGAUACUUGGGAGGCUAAUGUGAGGCCAGUCUGUGUUAGAAUGAGACCCUAUCUCAACAAACUACAGAAAAGGGGUCUGGCAUGUUAGAUCAUCAAGUAAAAGGGCUUUCCUGAUAGCCUUAGUUCCAUUUUUGGAAUCCACAAGAGAAGAUAAAAACAGAUUCCUAACUAAAACACACACACACACACACACACACACACACACACACACACACACAUGAUCUUGAACCUCUAACUUCUCAGAAGCUGAAAUUACAAGCCUAUGUCAACAUGGCUAGUUUAUCUUAAUUUUAAAAAGGUACUCUGUGUGUGUAUAUCACACAUACAUAACAGAACAAUCAAAGAAGAACACAGUGGGAAGUUUCUCAUGUGUUCUCCAGCAUCCUCUUUGUAUCGGUGUACUUCAUAACUUAAUCACUUUCUUUACAAACAUUUUAGCUGGGAGUGGUGGCCCACAUCUCUAAGAAACUUUGCCUCAAAAGAACAAUAAAACAAAAGGGGAGAGAGAACUGUCAUGGUGGUAUACACCUGUAAUUGCAAGGAAGGUAAGAGUUGAAGGCCCAUAUUUAAAGAGUUUAAAACCAGCCUAAGUUACAUGAAACCCUGUUUUUAAAACCAAACCAAAAAUGACCAAAAAAAGGGAAGAAAGGAAGGAUGGAUCAAAGACUUUGUAUUAACUUGGUGUCAGAUGUGGCACAUACAUGCAUGAUGGUAUUGAAAUGCUUUUUUAAAAAAUAUUUAAUUUAUGUAUAUGAGUACACUGUAGCUGUACUGAUGGUUGUGAGCCAUCAUGUGGUUGCUGGGAUUUGAACUCAUGACCUCUCGAAGAGCAGCAGUCACUGCUGUUAACCACUGAGCCAUCUUAUCAGCCCAUAUUGGUAUGCUUAACUCUGAUUUUCAUCCUUGGUGAGUGAAGCAUGCAUGGCUGUGUGUAAAUACAUACGAUAUUUUUUACUCCUAUUUAUUUUGUUUUGUUUUGUUUUGUUUUCCAGACAGGAUUUCUCAUGUAACCCUACCUGUCUAGGAACUAGCUCUGUAGAUCAGGCUGGCCUUAAAUUCACAGCGAUCUGCCUGCUUCUGCCUCCUGAAUACUGGGAUUUAAGGAAUGCACCACUACUGCCACUUGGAUCUAUUUUAUUUUUUGAGCCUGUAUCCCAGACUGGCUUCUAAUUUACUAUGUAUCCAAGAAUGACCUUCAAGUAUUGUUUUUUUUUCUGGUUGUUGUUGUUUGCUUGUUUUUUUUUUUGUUUUUUUUUUUUUUUUGUUUUGAGACUAGUGUCUCAUUGCAAGCCUUGUGGAAACUGGAAUUUGACUUGUAGAUCAGGUUGGCCUGAAUCUACAGAGUUCUGCUUGCCUCUGCCUCCUUAGUGCUGGGGUUAAAGGUGUGUACCACCAUACCCAGCUCCACCCUGUAAAUUCUGUAUAUGUGCCUUUGUGCCUGUAAUGAUUAGAGAAAACCUUGAUGUUGGUCCUUGUCUUUUUAAACUUGCAAUGUUUUUCCAGGCUGGCCCUGAAGUCUCUCUUCUGAUUCCACUUCCCAGACCAAAGGGAUUUCAGGCGUGUCCCAUCCACCAUGCUCACUCUGUGUGCCAUUAUUCUCAGUGCUAUAUCUAUACUUUACAUAAAUGGCAAUUAUUGGUGAUCCUUAACAAUUCCUUACAUCUCCGGCUUGGCAGUUGGCUCUCCCCCUUUUCCUGGUAGGCUCAGAAAGCCCUCCUGGAAUUGGUUAUCAUGUGUAUUAAUGAUAAUAUUUUAAGCUGGCCGUAAUUGUGCAUGCCUUUUAUUCCAGCACUCAGAGGCAGGCAAAUUUCUGUGAGUUCAAGACCAGCCAGGGCUACAUAGAGAUUCUAUCUCAAUAAAAAAAUUUCAAUAAAUUACUUUUUUAAACAGUGUCUUACUAUGUAGUCCUGGAUGGGCUCAAACCCAGAGAGAUCUACUGCUCUGUUUCCCGGGGCUGGUGUUAAAGGCAUGUGCUCAAUCCUGUAAGAGUGGUAUUUUGAAUCUGGUUCUUUGUCAUGGAACCUUUAGUAUUUAGUAUUUAAUAACUGUUAUUUAUGACCUAGACCUUUGUUUGGAAAGAUGGUAGUGCUGAAGAUGUAGUGUAGUGAUUAGAGCGCCUGCUUGGAAUGCUUUAGAACCUGGGUCUGAUCCCAACAUCCCAUAAACUGGGUGUGAUGGCCCACGCCUAUAUUCCAGCCUUCAGGAGAUAGGAGGUUAGGCAGGUCACCAGGUCCCCUGCAUCCUGGGUUGCAGAUAUUUUUGUGUAUUUGUGAAUAUUGAAGUGCACCAGAGUAAGAUACCAGGGGGACAUUGGAAAAUACUCCUAUAGUCAUAUGUAUACUCUGUGUGCUGACAGGCACUUGGGUCUUUUCCCUCUUUUCUCAGUCAAGCAGUGUGUAUAUAUAGUUUUAAUAAUCAGCCCUGCCAGCUUUAUGUGAAAACUGUAAUUUCCCUACUCAGCUCUCUCUACUUCCUCUUCCCCUGUCCCAGUCCCUCCCCCCUCCCCUCCUCUUUGCCCCCCCCCCUUUUGUUGUUGUUUUUUUUGUUUUUUAAGAUAGGGUCUUUCUUUGUAGCUCUGGCUGUCCUGAAACUUGCUACAUAGACUAGGCUGGCCUUGAAUUCAGAGAUCCACUUGCCUCUGUCUCCCAAGAGGAGGAUUAAGUUCAUGGGUCACUAUUGUCAAGCUUCCAUUUUCAAUUCUUAAAUCUUUAUUUUUAUUUACCCAAUGUUUUAGUAGAAUACUUAAGGUCCAUCCCCAAUCUCUCCCCCUUUUCUCUCGUGCUGAGGACAGAGCCUAAGACUUAUUAGCACACGCUCACUAAGCAGUCAGCCACUGUGUUGUGUAUCGCCCCUUCUGUGGAUUUCUUAGAACUUACUUUUAUUUUCAUACUAUAUACUCAUUUUCAUGGUAUAGUCUGAGAGUGCACUCCAUAGAGCAAGAAGUCUUGCAAAACUGAAGAACAAAUGGGUGAUGAGUGCGGCAUUGAAAACAGUACUCAGUCGGGUGGUAGCUGUAGAACAAGAAGUGAUUUGGCUGAGUUCUAUGGAAAGCUUUUCCCUUUACUUUAAUGAGAUCAAUUUUAGUUCAUUUCCUUGUCUUAUUCUCACUCAUCAGUCAUGAGUCAUCCACAUGCUCAUUCAGUAAACAUGGCUUCUUUGUCAGAGGAGAUCAAAUGCAGUGUUAGUUAGGUCUGCUGAUAAAAAAUAAAAUCACCCCUCCCCAAUUAAACAAACAAACACUAAACAAUCUGAAGUUGGAAAGCCAUUCCCAUUUUUUUUUUUUAAAGAUUUAUUCAUUUAUUAUAUGUAAGUACACUGUAGCUGUCUUCAGACACUCCAGAAGAGGGAGUCAGAUCUCGUUACAGAUGGUUGUGAGCCACCAUGUGGUUGCUGGGAUUUGAACUCCUGACCUUCGGAAGAGCAGUGGGUGCUCUUACCCACUGAGCCAUCUCACCAGCCCCCACCAUUCCCAUUUUAAAACAAUUUUUAUUUUAUUAGUUUAUGUGUAUGGGUGUUUUGCCUGCAUGUACGUCUGGACAACAUGUGUGGGCAAUGCCCUCAGAUUCCAGAAGAGCAUCUCAAAACAACAACCCCCCCC